GUUAAAUGGUGCAUUCUCAGUCCUUUGACUUUGAUCAUUAUCUGUCUGUAUGAGAAUCUUCCACAUGAUGUGAAGCGUCCAGUCCUGCCCUGCGUCUGGCCUUUGGCUCUGGCCACUGAUGACAAGGCUGAGGUUGACCGCUGGUUUGACAACAGACUGAGGAACUACCUGAAGUUCCUCAACAGAAACCUGCUCCAGUCCUCUGACACACUCAACGCCUCCUGCUUACCCUUCAGGAGACUUGUGUAUCUACUGGGAUCCAAGCUCACUUUCAAUGGCUCAGCCAUAACUCAAGAUGAUGCGUACAGCACCAUAAAUACCUACCUCAACACAGGAAGUUCAGCAGCACCCAAGUGUUAUAGUCCCUCUGACCCAAAUCUCAACUCCACCGCCUGGUUCCUUAACUACAUUGGUGUGUUCAUCACCUUUGUGACCAUUGAAGACUUCAACACAUUUGGCUCAGAGUCAACGCUAAAACUAUUUGCCGUGAACCCUGUCAACAUUGAGUUGUUCAAUUUCGCUGGAGCUCCUCAAAAUCUGACUAAACACUUUACUGAGCUUAUCUUCCUGCAGAACUCCAACUUCCUCCCA